rnacentral:rRNA from 1 species
GUGGGGAAUAUUGCACAAUGGGCGCAAGCCUGAUGCAGCAACGCCGCGUGAGGGACGACGGCCUUCGGGUUGUAAACCUCUUUUAGCAGGGAAGAAGCGAAAGUGACGGUACCUGCAGAAAAAGCACCGGCUAACUACGUGCCAGCAGCCGCGGUAAUACGUAGGGUGCAAGCGUUGUCCGGAAUUAUUGGGCGUAAAGAGCUCGUAGGCGGUUUGUCGCGUCUGCUGUGAAAACCCGAGGCUCAACCUCGGGCCUGCAGUGGGUACGGGCAGACUAGAGUGCGGUAGGGGAGAUUGGAAUUCCUGGUGUAGCGGUGGAAUGCGCAGAUAUCAGGAGGAACACCGAUGGCGAAGGCAGAUCUCUGGGCCGUAACUGACGCUGAGGAGCGAAAGCGUGGGGAGCGAACAGGAUUAGAUACCCGUGUAGUCC